rnacentral:rRNA from 1 species
GACGAACGCUGGCGGCGUGCUUAACACAUGCAAGUCGAACGGAAAGGCCCCUUUGGGGGUACUCGAGUGGCGAACGGGUGAGUAACACGUGAGUAACCUGCCCUUGACUUCGGGAUAACUUCAGGAAACUGGGGCUAAUACCGGAUAGGAAUCCUUGCUGCAUGGUGGGGGUUGGAAAGCUUCGGCGGUUUUGGAUGGACUCGCGGCUUAUCAGCUUGUUGGUGGGGUAGUGGCUUACCAAGGCUUUGACGGGUAGCCGGCCUGAGAGGGCGACCGGCCACAUCGGGACUGAGAUACGGCCCAGACUCCUACGGGAGGCAGCAGUGGGGAAUAUUGCACAAUGGGCGGAAGCCUGAUGCAGCAACGCCGCGUGCGGGAUGACGGCCUUCGGGUUGUAAACCGCUUUCAGCAGGGGCGAAGCUUGUGGUGACGGUACCUGCAGAAGAAGCACCGGCUAACUACGUG